UACGUAGGGGGGCAAGCGUUUGUCCGGAAUCAUUGGGCGUAAAGAGCGUGUAGGCGGUCCGAUAAGUCCGCUCUGAAAGCCCGGGGCUCAACCCCGGGAGGCGGGCGGAUACUGUCGGGCUAGAGUCCGGAAGAGGCAAGUGGAAUUCCUGGUGUAGCGGUGAAAUGCGCAGAUAUCAGGAGGAACACCGAUGGCGAAGGCAGCUUGCUGGGACGGUACUGACGCUGAGACGCGAAAGCGUGGGGAGCAAACAGG
rnacentral:rRNA from 1 species